UACGGGAAGGGGGCGAGCGUUGUUCGGAAUCACUGGGGCGUAAAGGGCGCGUAGGCGGCCCUCCUAGUCGCGUGUGAAAGCCCCGGGCUCAACCUGGGAAUGGCGAUGGAUACUGGACGUAGCUAGAGUGCGGUAGAGGAGAGUGGAAUUCCCGGUGUAGCAGUGAAAUGCGUAGAGAUCGGGAGGAACAUCAGUUGCGAAGGCGGCUCUCUGGACCAGCACUGACA
rnacentral:rRNA from 1 species